AUUGAACGCUGGCGGAAUGCUUUACACAUGCAAGUCGAGCGGCAGCGCGGGGCAACCUGGCGGCGAGCGGCGAACGGGUGAGUAAUACAUCGGAACGUGCCCAGUCGUGGGGGAUAACUACGCGAAAGCGUAGCUAAUACCGCAUACGAACUCUGGUUGAAAGCGGGGGAUCGCAAGACCUCGCGCGAUUGGAGCGGCCGAUGGCAGAUUAGGUAGUUGGUGGGGUAAAGGCUCACCAAGCCGACGAUCUGCAGCUGGUCUGAGAGGACGACCAGCCACACUGGGACUGAGACACGGCCCAGACUCCUACGGGAGGCAGCAGUGGGGAAUUUUGGACAAUGGGCGCAAGCCUGAUCCAGCCAUUCCGCGUGCAGGAUGAAGGCCCUCGGGUUGUAAACUGCUUUUGUACGGAACGAAACGCGCCGGGUUAAUACCUCGGCGUAAUGACGGUACCGUAAGAAUAAGCCCCGGCUAACUUCGUGCCAGCCGCCGCUGUAA
rnacentral:rRNA from 1 species